rnacentral:rRNA from 1 species
UACGGGGGGUGCGAGCGUUGUCCGGAAUCGCUGGGCGUAAAGCGCGUGUAGGCGGUCCGGUAAGUCCGCUGUGAAAGUCGGGGGCUCAACCCUCGGAUGCCGGUGGAUACUGUCGGGCUUGAGUACGGAAGAGGCGAGUGGAAUUCCUGGUGUAGCGGUGAAAUGCGCAGAUAUCAGGAGGAACACCAAUUGCGAAGGCAGCUCGCUGGGACGUUACUGACGCUGAGACGCGAAAGCGUGGGGAGCAAACAGG